AAGUUGCAGUGGUUGCAUCUCCAAGCUCAGGUUGACCUGAGAACCUACUAGAGUUACAGGCAUGCUCAGCUUGGUUUGCAUGGAGCAAUGAACUAUUUUGCUGCAGUCAGAUCAUGUGUACACCAUAUGCUGUGGGUGAAGAGAAGGCAAGUCAUACCAGGUUAAAGUAUAGCCUUUUCAUGUGCUUUCUUCCCUCCUUCUGUCCCUCCCCUAAACAGGAGUCUUUUUCACUCUCCUGCCCUUAACCUGAGCUCUGCAGGACACCAGCUAAGGGAGCAUUCUCUCUUUGCACGGUGAAUUAAUGAGUUCAGAUGGUCACCUUACACAGCAGAGAUGUGUGGGAAAGAAAACCUGUGUCAAUGUGAAACAUGUGUGCGCCUAUCCCAAGGACGAGGCAUCUGAUUCAUAAAUCAGUGGCAGGGAGGUAAGGAGAGAUGUGUGGGUUUGUUAACAACUGUUGGACUUAAAUGGUGCAUUUUACUCUUUUUCAUCUUAAGUCUCCCAAGAAGAUCAUAUUUUUGACUUAUAUGUUUUCUUUCUGGUGCUGACCACAGUUUAAAGCAUCCAGAAGGUCAGUGUGUUCCCGUUUAGUGUUGUCUUGUGAUUACCAGUGAUGCUCUGUGCACACAAGCAUUGCCAGGAUCUGUAGGUCUCUGAGCCUUGCUUUCAGGGCUGGAGGAGAGGAAGACUCUGCUGAAGAAAACUGCCCCGUGUCUCCUCCCACACCGCAAAGACCAAAUGGAUCCUUCUGAGAAUCCGCAGUUCCUGCUUACGCCACGCGUGACAUUCCCAAUCCCUUCACCACUCAUGGUCGUUUCUGUGGCUCUUCCUCCAUAACUAACUCCAACUGGCACAGCUGAGACCUCAGCACGAUGAAUCCUUGGAGCACAGCCAGCUCUUGCUUUUAUUUUGCACUUGUGUUGCUGAUGUCAAGCCUUUGAACGAGGCCCCAGUUGCAGCAUGGAGCAGACGAAUACAAGGAGGGUGGUUCUUGUCUUGUGGAGUCGACAAGAGUCACAAGAUCUCCAACAGGAUGCCAGACUGUGAGCGUUUGUUGUGGUCCAAGCCACUGCUUAUUUCCUCUGGUGACGCAAACUGGAGUCAGUCCUUUCUGGUGGUCGAGUGUGUGCGGAGGGCGAUGCAAACCUCCCGGCAUCUCUCUGCUCGUACAUGCGCACGUGUUUGCGCAAACCCAGAACCAACAGGCUUGAAUCAAAGACAACUUGGUGUGGUGGUUUGGUCUGUGGGCUGCUGGGGCUCUGCACCAGGAGCUGUUGGGCUGGAAAUCUCUGGAUGGAGAUGUGGAAAGAGCGUGGGAUGUGUAGCACCUCAUGCUGCUGAGACCAGCAGAGGCUGGAUCUUAACGUUCUCAAGCUGCAAGCAAGAGCUUCCCAGCUAGAGCUAAACAUUUGCCGUAGACAUCUGUAACGUGGGACAGAAAUAAGAUGCUAUUAACUAGCCUGUGAUAAUAAUCAUAACCUUGGACAUAAAUACUCUCCUGCCAGUGGUUUCCAAUGCAAUCUGGUCAAAACAGAGAUUAGGCUUCAUGAUUUCAUGGCAGUGAAUUUGCCUCCUGCUCUGCAAGAAGAAAGAAAAACUCUUCAUAAUGAAUGGUGCCGACAGCUUUAGGACCUAUAAGCUAUCUGCCUGCUGAAGAACGGUUGUUAAGUCCUCAAUACCUCAGCAGCCUCUUUCCAGUUUAAUAACAACACUUCUCCUCUCUCAUGUUGCUGUAGUUGUAUGGAUUUUAAGUCUGCAGCCAGGGUAGGACCAAGUGACAGCAGCAACAAAAUAGUCAUUGGUGUUGACUUGCAUUGCCUUACUGAACGUCAGUAGUUGAAAAUGCACCUGCACUACACAUGCAACAGAAUAUCCUGUAGAACUCAUUGUUUUCCAGGUGACGCUGAUCUGUCUCUUUCUGACAUUGUAUGGCUCCUUGAAAGCAACAUUCUGUUCCUGUAAACAAAAGCAGUUCUCACUGUGCAGGAGUGACAACUUGUACAGAAAACCUUUCUGAUUUGGAAUGCAAAAUGAAGUCCCUUUUCUCUGUGGAAAUCCAAGAUUUAGCACAUGCAA